rnacentral:rRNA from 1 species
UACGAAGGGGGCUAGCGUUGCUCGGAAUCACUGGGCGUAAAGGGUGCGUAGGCGGGUCUUAAGUCAGGGGUGAAAUCCUGGAGCUCAACUCCAGAACUGCCUUUGAUACUGAGGAUCUUGAGUAUGGGAGAGGUGAGUGGAACUGCGAGUGUAGAGGUGAAAUUCGUAGAUAUUCGCAAGAACACCAGUGGCGAAGGCGGCUUUCUGGACGGUAACUGACGCCGAGACGCGAAAGCGUGGGGAGCAAACAGGG